UAACUGAAUACAUAGGUUAACAGAGCAAACCGGGGGAACUGAAACAUCUAAGUACCCCGAGGAGAAGAAAUCAACCGAGAUUCCGGUAGUAGCGGCGAGCGAACCUGGAUUAGCCCUUAAGCACUCGGUGAAGUAGGUGAACAAGCUGGAAAGCUUGGCGAUACAGGGUGAUAGCCCCGUAACCGACGCUUCAUCGAGCGUGAAAUCGAGUAGGGCGGGACACGUGAUAUCCUGUCUGAAUAUGGGGGGACCAUCCUCCAAGGCUAAAUACUCCUGACUGACCGAUAGUGAACCAGUACCGUGAGGGAAAGGCGAAAAGAACCCCUGUGAGGGGAGUGAAAUAGAACCUGAAACCGUGUACGUACAAGCAGUAGGAGCACCUUCGUGGUGUGACUGCGUACCUUUUGUAUAAUGGGUCAGCGACUUAUAUUCAGUGGCAAGGUUAACCGUAUAGGGGAGCCGUAGCGAAAGCGAGUCUUAACUGGGCGCUCAGUCUCUGGAUAUAGACCCGAAACCGGGUGAUCUAGCCAUGGGCAGGUUGAAGGUUGAGUAACAUCAACUGGAGGACCGAACCGACUAAUGUUGAAAAAUUAGCGGAUGACUUGUGGCUAGGGGUGAAAGGCCAAUCAAACUCGGAGAUAGCUGGUUCUCCCCGAAAGCUAUUUAGGUAGCGCCUCGGACGAAUACUACUGGGGGUAGAGCACUGUUAAGGCUAGGGGGUCAUCCCGACUUACCAACCCUUUGCAAACUCCGAAUACCAGUAAGUACUAUCCGGGAGACACACGGCGGGUGCUAACGUCCGUCGUGGAGAGGGAAACAACCCAGACCGCCAGCUAAGGUCCCAAAGUAUUGCUAAGUGGGAAACGAUGUGGGAAGGCUCAGACAGCUAGGAUGUUGGCUUAGAAGCAGCCAUCAUUUAAAGAAAGCGUAAUAGCUCACUAGUCGAGUCGGCCUGCGCGGAAGAUGUAACGGGGCUAAGCAAUACACCGAAGCUGCGGCAAUGUCUUUUAGACAUUGGGUAGGGGAGCGUUCUGUAAGCCGUUGAAGGUGAAUCGUAAGGUUUGCUGGAGGUAUCAGAAGUGCGAAUGCUGACAUGAGUAACGACAAAGGGGGUGAAAAACCUCCUCGCCGGAAGACCAAGGGUUCCUGUCCAACGUUAAUCGGGGCAGGGUGAGUCGACCCCUAAGGUGAGGCCGAAAGGCGUAAUCGAUGGGAAACGGGUUAAUAUUCCCGUACUUCUGACUAUUGCGAUGGGGGGACGGAGAAGGCUAGGUGGGCCAGGCGACGGUUGUCCUGGUUCAAGUGCGUAGGCUUGAGAGUUAGGUAAAUCCGGCUCUCUCUAAGGCUGAGACACGACGUCGAGCUGCUACGGCAGUGAAGUCAUUGAUGCCAUGCUUCCAGGAAAAGCCUCUAAGCUUCAGAUAGUCAGGAAUCGUACCCCAAACCGACACAGGUGGUCGGGUAGAGAAUACCAAGGCGCUUGAGAGAACUCGGGUGAAGGAACUAGGCAAAAUGGUACCGUAACUUCGGGAGAAGGUACGCUCUUGAUGGUGAAGUCCCUCGCGGAUGGAGCUGACGAGAGUCGCAGAUACCAGGUGGCUGCAACUGUUUAUUAAAAACACAGCACUGUGCAAAAUCGCAAGAUGACGUAUACGGUGUGACGCCUGCCCGGUGCCGGAA
rnacentral:rRNA from 1 species